GACGAACGCUGGCGGCGUGCCUAAUACAUGCAAGUUGAGCGCUGAAGGUUGGUACUUGUACCGACUGGAUGAGCAGCGAACGGGUGAGUAACGCGUGGGGAAUCUGCCUUUGAGCGGGGACAACAUUUGGAAACGAAUGCUAAUACCGCAUAAAAACUUUAAACACAAGUUUUAAGUUUGAAAGAUGCAAUUGCAUCACUCAAAGAUGAUCCCGCGUUGUAUUAGCUAGUUGGUGAGGUAAAGGCUCACCAAGGCGAUGAUACAUAGCCGACCUGAGAGGGUGAUCGGCCACAUUGGGACUGAGACACGGCCCAAACUCCUACGGGAGGCAGCAGUAGGGAAUCUUCGGCAAUAGACGAAAGUCUGACCGAGCAACGCCGCGUGAGUGAAGAAGGUUUUCGGAUCGUAAAACUCUGUUGGUAGAGAAGAACGUUGGUGAGAGUGGAAAGCUCAUCAAGUGACGGUAACUACCCAGAAAGGGACGGCUAACUACGUG
rnacentral:rRNA from 1 species